rnacentral:tRNA from 1 species
GGUGGGAUAGCUCAGUUGGUAGAGCAAAGGACUGAAAAUCCUUGUGUCGCCGGUUCGAUCCCGGCUCCUACCACAA